UUCCCAGACUCCUACGGGAGGCAGCAGUGAGGAAUAUUGGUCAAUGGGCGGAAGCCUGAACCAGCCAAGUCGCGUGAGGGAAUAAGGCCCUACGGGUCGUAAACCUCUUUUGCCGGGGAGCAAGGGCCGGGACGCGUCCCGGCCCGGAGAGUACCCGGAGAAAAAGCAUCGGCUAACUCCGUGCCAGCAGCCGCGGUAAUACGGAGGAUGCGAGCGUUAUCCGGAUUUAUUGGGUUUAAAGGGUGCGUAGGCGGGCUUUUAAGUCAGCGGUAAAAAUUCGGGGCUCAACCCCGUCCGGCCGUUGAAACUGGGGGCCUUGAGUGGGCGAGAAGAAGGCGGAAUGCGUGGUGUAGCGGUGAAAUGCAUAGAUAUCACGCAGAACCCCGAUUGCGAAGGCAGCAUACCGGUGCACAACUGACGCUCAGGCACGAAAGCGUGGGUAUCGAACAGGAUUAGAUACCCCGGUA
rnacentral:rRNA from 1 species